CACGUCGGGCGCAAGCGUUGUCCGGAAUUAUUGGGCGUAAAGAGCUCGUAGGCGGUCUGUUGCGUCCGCUGUGAAAACUCGGGGCUUAACCCCGAGCCUGCAGUGGAUACGGGCAGACUAGAGGUAGGUAGGGGAGAAUGGAAUUCCCGGUGUAGCGGUGAAAUGCGCAGAUAUCAGGAGGAACACCGAUGGCGAAGGCAGGUCUCUGGGCAUUAACUGACGCUGAGGAGCGAAAGCAUGGGGAGCGAACAGG
rnacentral:rRNA from 1 species